GUUAAUUGAUUAUGACGUACUUGUACUGAUUGAGAUUUUAACACGAAGUGAGUGGCGAACGGGUGAGUAACACGUGGGUAACCUGCCCAGAAGUAGGGGAUAACACCUGGAAACAGAUGCUAAUACCGUAUAACAGAGAAAACCGCAUGGUUUUCUUUUAAAAGAUGGCUCUGCUAUCACUUCUGGAUGGACCCGCGGCGUAUUAGCUAGUUGGUGAGGUAAAGGCUCACCAAGGCAGUGAUACGUAGCCGACCUGAGAGGGUAAUCGGCCACAUUGGGACUGAGACACGGCCCAGACUCCUACGGGAGGCAGCAGUAGGGAAUCUUCCACAAUGGACGCAAGUCUGAUGGAGCAACGCCGCGUGAGUGAAGAAGGGUUUCGGCUCGUAAAGCUCUGUUGUUAAAGAAGAACGUGGGUAAGAGUAACUGUUUACCCAGUGACGGUAUUUAACCAGAAAGCCACGGCUAACUACGUGCCAGCAGCCGCGGUAAUACGUAGGUGCCAAGCGUUAUCCGGAUUUAUUGGGCGUAAAGCGAGCGCAGGCGGUCUUUUAAGUCUAAUGUGAAAGCCUUCGGCUCAACCGAAGAAGUGCAUUGGAAACUGGGAGACUUGAGUGCAGAAGAGGACAGUGGAACUCCAUGUGUAGCGGUGAAAUGCGUAGAUAUAUGGAAGAACACCAGUGGCGAAGGCGGCUGUCUGGUCUGCAACUGACGCUGAGGCUCGAAAGCAUGGGUAGCGAACAGGAUUAGAUACCCUGGUAGUCCAUGCCGUAAACGAUGAUUACUAAGUGUUGGAGGGUUUCCGCCCUUCAGUGCUGCAGCUAACGCAUUAAGUAAUCCGCCUGGGGAGUACGACCGCAAGGUUGAAACUCAAAAGAAUUGACGGGGGCCCGCACAAGCGGUGGAGCAUGUGGUUUAAUUCGAAGCUACGCGAAGAACCUUACCAGGUCUUGACAUCUUCUGACAGUCUAAGAGAUUAGAGGUUCCCUUCGGGGACAGAAUGACAGGUGGUGCAUGGUUGUCGUCAGCUCGUGUCGUGAGAUGUUGGGUUAAGUCCCGCAACGAGCGCAACCCUUAUUACUAGUUGCCAGCAUUAAGUUGGGCACUCUAGUGAGACUGCCGGUGACAAACCGGAGGAAGGUGGGGACGACGUCAAAUCAUCAUGCCCCUUAUGACCUGGGCUACACACGUGCUACAAUGGAUGGUACAACGAGUCGCGAGACCGCGAGGUUAAGCUAAUCUCUUAAAACCAUUCUCAGUUCGGACUGUAGGCUGCAACUCGCCUACACGAAGUCGGAAUCGCUAGUAAUCGCGGAUCAGCAUGCCGCGGUGAAUACGUUCCCGGGCCUUGUACACACCGCCCGUCACACCAUGAGAGUUUGUAACACCCAAAGCCGGUGGGGUAACCUUUUAGGAGCUAGCCGUCU
rnacentral:rRNA from 1 species